AUGUCCGUGGACGACUGCUUCGUCCCGUUCCACUCUCCUCUCCGGGAGCCGACAGCCUACGACCGCUGGGGGAAGGGCCCGCAACCCUGCUGGUCGCAGCUCGAUCUGGACAGGUGCGCGGGAGGCUCGCAAGGGCAAGGCGGCGUCGACAGGCGCAUCCUGCAGUUUCUCAACCGCCCCGUCGCUGUCCCCCCAAGGCGCCUGCCGCCGCCCCUCGGCCCGCUGCCCAAGCUCUCGAAGCCGCCGUCCCAGCACAAGGAGAAUUUGCCAGAGGAGCCAAAGCAACACCAUCCUGCUCAAGCUGCUGUCUCAUCCGCUGCUUCCAGGGGGAGGUACGCAAGGAGUCGGGCUGGAUGGGCUUCCAAGGACGGGAGUACCCCAUGCAUCAGGAGCCGAGCUGCCUGUGCUUCCAAGGAGAGGAGCACUCCUGAAGGUAUCAACAUGGAGGAACAUGGAUUUAGGUUUCAGUUCACUUUCCCUGAACCCGAUUAUGGGGAGUACGGCGCCGAUUUCGGUGAGGAAGAGGAGUGUGUACCGAGGCAGAGGAAACCUCCGGAAGUAAGGAAUGCACUACGUGAGAAGAGAGUCGCGUUUAGGCAAAAGACUGGGCGGCACCAUGCAAAGGUUGCCCUGCGUAAGUACAACAGAGCAAACAACACCAAGUUUGAGCUGGUGGAGGUGCCAGUGAUCCGUGAGUUUUGGGAGUUUGGAGGGGGCUGCAUCCAUUACAACUUCACGGCUAAGCAAGCAGAGGAUCAUCAUCAUUCUGCUGAUGCCGACAGCACCAAGCUCUUCUUCUCUGAGGUCAACUCCGCUUUCCAUGGCGAGAAGGAUGUGGUCCUGUGCUGCAUCGUUGGAGAACAUGAUAAUGGGCAUUGCUACGGCUGCGAAGGCUUCAAGCCAACCGUUGUUCACCCUAGCAGCCAAGCAUAUGGCGGUGGUAGUAGUACUUGCAUUGAUUUUGCUGGUUCAGACGGAAGCUCGGAGAGUGAUUAA
rnacentral:rRNA from 1 species